rnacentral:lncRNA from 1 species
GAGGAGUCUUCAGCGUUUCCUUAGGAUCCACAGGGUUCAGUCGAAGUCAAUUCUGUUAAAACAGAAGCUGGAGCCACAGACUCAGGCACAGGGCAUGGAUUUCUGGCACUGGCUUGGGCUGGCCAGCAGAGGGCACCUGCUGCUACUGAUGGACAUCCCAAACCUUUGGAGGCAGGUGAGUUGGGUGUGUGUGUGUGUGUGUGUGUGUGUGUGUGUGUGUGUGUGUGUGUGUGUGUGUGUGUGUGUUGUAUAUGCGUGUGUUUAUUGAGGGAGUCAACUUUCCCAGUCUUAGAAUCACUUGGUUUCUGCCAUCAAUGGCAUCGUGAUCGUGGCUAGACAUUUCUCCAGGGGCAAACAGACCUACAGACACCACACAACCCCGUUCAUGGUGGCCAACAACAUGGUGGAGGCAGGGCCCGUUAGCAGACCUCUUGAGUGACAGCCCUGUGCAGGUCUCUACCUUCUAAGGAGAUAGACACUGUUUACAAGUGUCUGUGGCUGGCUCCUGAUUGCCGCUCCUCUGUCUGAGGUGGGCUGUUAUGGAGUCGUGGCGAGGCCGGCGCGUCCGCAGUCACGAUGCGGAGGCUGAUGUGGAUCCGAAGGCCUAUCCCCUCGCUGAUGCCCACCUCGCCAAGAAGCUGCUGGACCUUGUUCGGCAGUGGUGUAACCGCAAGCAGCUUCGGAAAGGAGCCGAUGAAGCCACCAAACCUCA